rnacentral:rRNA from 1 species
GAUGAACGCUGGCGGCGUGCCUAAUACAUGCAAGUCGAGCGAACAGACGAGGCGCUUGCUCCUCUGACGUUAGCAACGGACGGGUGAGUAACACGUGGAUAACCUACCUCUAAGACUGAGAUAACUUCGGGAAACCGGAGCUCAUACCGGAUAAUAUAUUGAACCGCAUGGUUCAAUAGUGAAAGACGGGUUUUCUGUCACUUAUAGAUGGAUCCGCGCCGUAUUAGCUAGUUGGUAAGGUAACGGCUUACCAAGGCAACGAUGCGUAGCCGACCUGAGAGGCGGAUAGGCCACACGGGAACUGAGACACGGUCACGAGUCCUGAGGGAGGGAGCAGUAGGGAACCGGCCGCAAUGGGCGAAAGCCUGACGGAGCAACGCCGCGUGAGUGAUGAAGGUCUUGGGAUCGUAAAACUCGGUUAUUAGGGAAGAACAAAUGUGUAAGUAGCUAUGCACGUCUUGACGGUACCUAAUCAGAAAGCCACGGCUAACUACGUG